GAAAGCCGUAUGAGGGAAAACCUCACGUACGGUUUGACGAGAAGAUGCUGGAAAUAGGGUAUGGUUGUGAUCGUGU
rfam:Candidatus Jettenia caeni DNA, contig: KST1_C.